GGCGCUAUAGCCAAGUGGUUACGGCGACAGAUUAGAAUCGCGAUACCUUUGCAAAUACUCAUCUGUUCCUCUUUGAGGGCGUAGGUUCAAGUCCUACUGGCGUCG